rnacentral:rRNA from 1 species
CCUACGGGUGGCAGCAGUGGGGAAUAUUGCACAAUGGGGGAAACCCUGAUGCAGCGACGCCGCGUGAGGGAAGAAGUAUUUCGGUAUGUAAAGCCCUAUCAUCAGGGAAGAUAAUGAGGGUACCUGAGUAAUAAGCUCCGGCUAAAUCCGUGCCAGCAGCCGCGGUAAUACGUAUGGUGCAAGCGUUAUACGGAUUUACUGGGUGUAAAGAGAGCGCAGGCGGCCUUGCAAGUCUGAUGUGAAAUACCGUGGCUCAACCCCGGAGCUGCAUUGGAAACUGUGAGGCUAGAGUGUCGGAGAGGCAGGCGGAAUUCCUAGUGUAGCGGUGAAAUGCGUAGAGAUUAGGAGGAACACUAGUGGCGAAGGCGGCCUGCUGGACGAUGACUGACGCUGAGGCGCGAAAGCGUGGGGAGCAAACAGGAUUAGAUACCCCAGUAGUC